GGCCGCGGGAAUUCGAUUCAGGCCUAACACAUGCAAGUCGAGCGGAGAUGAGGUGCUUGCACCUUAUCUUAGCGGCGGACGGGAGAGUAAUGCUUAGGAAUCUGCCUAUUAGUGGGGGACAACAUUCCGAAAGGAAUGCUAAUACCGCAUACGUCCUACGGGAGAAAGCAGGGGAUCUUCGGACCUUGCGCUAAUAGAUGAGCCUAAGUCGGAUUAGCUAGUUGGUGGGGUAAAGGCUUACCAAGGCGACGAUCUGUAGCGGGUCUGAGAGGAUGAUCCGCCACACUGGGACUGAGACACGGCCCAGACUCCUACGGGAGGCAGCAGUGGGGAAUAUUGGACAAUGGGGGGAACCCUGAUCCAGCCAAAGGGCGUGUGUGAAGAAGGCCUUAUGG
rnacentral:rRNA from 1 species